GCCGAGGUGGCGGAAUUGGUAGACGCGCAUGGUUCAGGUCCAUGUGGGCGAAAGUUCGUGGAGGUUCGAGUCCUCUCCUCGGCACCA
rnacentral:tRNA from 1 species